rnacentral:rRNA from 1 species
AUGGUUGCGCCCGGCUCCUCUUCUGCCGCCACCGACGCCGCGUCCUCGCCGAGCUCGCUCUCCUCCACGGCGACUGCCCCUGCCACCUCCCCCGGCACCUCCCCGUUCCUCUUCUCCGGCGCAUCCGGUAGCACUGGCCCCUCUCAGUUCGCCCCCCUCUUCUCCUCCUCCACCCCUGCGCCGCCACCACCAGCUCCACGCAACCCGAUCUUCUUUGAUCACAUCACAAACCACAUCAAGUUCUUGCUUAAUCCGGCCGACCACAACUAUCAUAAGUGGAAGUCCUUCUUCCUGCUCGUGCUUGUCCGCUACGGCGUCACCUUCCUCAUCGAGCACCCUCCUCCACCCAACGCCGACGCCCAAUACCUGGAGCUGGAUGCCCAUGUGGUGCUCUGGAUCUACGCCACCCUCGUCGAUCCCCUCAUCGAUCACGUCGUCGGCGCCACCACCACGUACGCCCUCUGGACCAAGAUCCAGGAUUUCUUCCUCGCCAAUCGGGCUGCGCGCUUCAUGGUGCUCAAUUGCCAGUACCGCAAUCUGAAACAGGGCGAUCUCUCCGUCACCGAGUACGCCCGUCGCCUGAAGCGGCUCACCGACGGUCUCGCCGACAUCGAUCACGCCGUCAAAGAGGUGGAUCUUACCACCCAAUUCCUCCACGGCCUCGACAAGUGGCUCGACACCAUCCGCGUCGUCCUCGGUGAUCAGGCCUCUACCAUGCCCUUCGACACUGUCCUCUCCCGCGUCGUCCUGGCGGAGGAGUCCCAGGCCCAGCGUGCCGCUGAGGAGAGCGCUUCGGCGUUCGCUCUCCCUGGUGCUUCUGGAUCGGGUGACGCUUCUGGAUCUGGUGCGCGCCCUCAGGGUGAUCGCGGCGACCGCUCUGGUGACCGCGGCUCCGAUCGCUCUUAG